rnacentral:misc_RNA from 1 species
UCGCGUCUUACGACGGCAGUUUCACUAGAGUUCCCAGCUUUACCUGAUGGCAACUAGUGAUGGGGGUUGCGCUCGUUGCGGGACUUAACCCAACACCCCACGGCACGAGCUGACGACAGCCAUGCAGCACCUGUGCUGGCUGCCCUUGCGGGCUCAUUACCGUUUCCGGUUCUUAACACCAGCAUGUCAAACCUGGGUAAGGUUCUUCGCGUUGCGUCGAAUUAAACCACAUGCUCCGCUGCUUGUGCGGGUCCCCGUCAAUUCCUUUGAGUUUUAGCCUUGCGGCCGUACUCCCCAGGCGGGGCACUUAAUGCGUUAGCUCCGGCACGGGAGGAGUCGACACCUCCCACACCUAGUGCCAUCGUUUACGGCGUGGACUAC